rnacentral:rRNA from 1 species
UACGUAGGGUGCAGGCGUUAAUCGGAAUUACUGGGCGUAAAGCGUGCGCAGGCGGUUUCUUAAGUCAGAUGUGAAAGCCCCGGGCUUAACUUGGGAACUGCGCUCGAAACUACUUGGCUAGAGUGUGGCAGAGGGAGGUGGAAUUCCACGUGUAGCGGUGAAAUGCGUAGAGAUGUGGAGGAACACCGAUGGCGAAGGCAGCCUCCUGGGCCAACACUGACGCUCAUGCACGAAAGCGUGGGGAGCAAACAGG